GCAGGUAUAGCUCAGUGGUAGGGUGCAUGCUUGGCAUGCGCGAGGUCCUGGGUUCAAUCCCCAGUGCCUCUG
rnacentral:tRNA from 1 species